rnacentral:lncRNA from 1 species
CUGUGCAAACGUGCCAUCCCAAGUGCAUUAAUUCACAACAGUAUGCAUAGGGUAUACCAAUUAAGAUAAAAGGAUAACAUAUGGAGGAAACAAUCAAAUGAAAAUAAUGCAAUCCAAAUUUCACUGUUAAACUUAGUUCAUGGACCACCUGCCAAUUCUGCAUUCCGGCUUUAAAAUAUGUGUGGAUGAGUUUGUAAUGAACAUUAAGUCAUAUGAACAGCUCGAGGUAUCACGUUGCUAAAUUACAUCUUGUUUAUAAAUCAAACAUGUUGGUGGUUCGUCUUAGCAGUAAAUGAUAAAUGCAAAAUAAUCUUAAAUACACUUUCUGUUUGGACAAAAGUAAGGAAUAAAUAUGUGGUCAUGUCAAAUAAUAAAUCACGUUUAGGUUUGGGUGGAAUUUUUUAUCCUUAAAUUUCAACCCGAGGCAACACACUCGCUCAUCCCGUUGAUUGCCUUCCUCCCAAUGCAUGUUACAGCUUUAAAUCUGAUCGACACAGACUUGUGCCACGUUACGCUACGGUGCAUUUUGUUCAAAAUCCGUCCGCUUUAAUUUCUCGGUAUGGGGACUAAAGAACUGUCUUCCCUAAGAGCGCUGAAGUACUUUUAGAGGAACAACGACCAAUAUACUUAGAUAUCUUCUACUGAUCACAGUUUCCCUAUAACAUAAAAACCCGGUGGAUUUGAUGAAGAAGCAUAGCUAAUUCUGCAGAAACGCCGUUUCCAUCCGUGCAAAUAGAAUAAUGGGAGAGAAAUGAGAAGGAAAACAAAAGCGAAGCGAAUUCUUGAUUACGAAAAUGAAGAAGACGAGGAAGAGGACCAAAAAUUGGAUGCCAUAUGUAAACGAAGAAGACAAAUGUAUCCUGCCAAAGAGAAAGCAGAGGAAAAUUCAUCAUCCACUGCGUGGCACAAUAAGUUCAACAUUGGGGCCUCUGACUUUGAAGGGCCCCCAUCCAGUCACUUUGCGGACAGCAGUUCCUCUCCAGAGGAAGCUGAUUACUUACAGUCCUACUCAAAGAUGGAGCUCAUUGCCAUGGUGCUGUGCAUGCAGAGGGAGAUGGAGAACUUGAAGGAACAAAUUCGGUGCCUUACAGCUUGUGGGAAGCUUGCCAGACAUCUUGAGGCCCUGAUUGAGAAGACUCAGAUGUGGGCAAAUAGGGACAGCAAGACCUCUGUCCCAGUAGUCCCCAGCAUUGCUAGUGUCCCAGUACAGAUAGAUACCACUGUCCCAGCCCUGCUGACUGCCCCAGCUGUCCUGAAUGGACAAUGGCCGAAGCAGGAGAGCCCUCCCCAGAAACCACAGGAUGCCUCACAUAGGAACCGACUCUUCACAGAGUUUAUCACCCCCGAGUUGUUGGAGAGGUGCAACACUGGCACCACGGCACAGAAGCUGACCAACGACCUGCUGCGGGGGCUUUACGAGAGGGACUGCCUGGCCUCUCACUCCAUCUCCGGGGUGGUGUACAACAAGAGAGGUCAGCCCAAGCCUGCGCUGCCCACUGAGGAGGUGCAGGCCAUUUUGAGAACUGUUCAGUAUUUCUUUCCCGGGAAGACAGAUGCAGAGAUCAAGGGCUACAUCCGGCAGAAGCUGCAAAAUGAGGCUAAGCGUCUGAGGAAGAAGCCCUGUUCAUCAGACCACCAGGACUCAGGGGUCAGGGGUCAGGGGUCAGGGGUCCCAGUCUGACUGCUCUUAGAGCAACUCAGGGGUCCCAGUCUGACUGCUCUUAGAGCAAGCAGUGUUAGCAUGAGUGUUACUGGACAGAGGCCUAGCGUUGAUUGAUAAAUGGUUUUAGUGUCCUGUGUUCCUAGGUGGUAGCCUGAAGAAAUUUUGAUGUGCCUACACUCUCCUUAAUAAAGUCACAGUCACAGUCA